CACACACACACACACGCACAGCAGCCUGAAGCAGAUGUCAGAGCUGGGUCGGGAUAAGGAGGGUAGCCACACUGGGUGGAUGGGCCUAGGAUGGGAAACCAGAGGCUGACUUGGAGGAGGAGGGGUCCAUAGGUAGGCCAACCCACAGUGAGGGGCUGUCUGAAUGGAGGGGAGGGGAGCCCUGCCUGGGAGGUCAGAGCCUGAGGGGUCGGGGAUGCAGAGGGAGGAGGGACUGUCCCAACCCUAACCCUUGGGGCUGGCCUCCUUCUCUGCCUGCCCAAACCCCUUCUAAAGCCAGGGAAUACCUGGGACCCCUUGCCAAGUCAACCGAAGUGCCCAUCCGUUCAGCAUCCCUGAGCACCACGGAUGGGCCCAACAGUGUGCCUGGUGCUGGGGAGAGACCCAGGCUAAAGCUUACCUCCCAGCAGGGAGGCCAGACGUGGAGCCAGCAUUCAUGAAGGGGAGGGGUGGGAGCGUGGAAGAGGAUGGCGUGACCUUUCAUGGGGGAUCAGAAGCUGUCCAGAUUGGAGGUCCGACAUCCCUCAUAAUUGAGAAGUCCUGCUUGGUGUUUCGCUCAAAACUUUCCUGCGCCCUCUGUUCUGAAGACAAGUGGCUCGCCGAAGGCCCUUUGCCACUACCAGCACAGAAGUGCUGAUAAUCUGUGCCACGAAGCCGUGGGGAGGAUAUCCAUUCAGUUGGUGAGCUAAGGUCUGUACCAAAACCCUCCUUCAGGCAGAGGCUCCGUAACCAUCCUUAUCUCUCCCUU
rnacentral:lncRNA from 1 species